rnacentral:rRNA from 1 species
AAUGAGGAAGCUGCUGGCAACAAGAGGAAGCUGGACAUCGCUGGGUUCGACGACCCAUCUGAUUCUGACGAUGAUGAGGAGUACAACUCUGGAGAUGAGGUGGAAGAGUGGAACCACAGGUCCUUCAUUGAGCAUGAAGCCAUGAAGAUCAGGGAGAAGGGGAAGGCGGCGUACUUCAAGUGGGGCAAUUUCAGGUGCCCAUACUGCACCACUAAGCCAAUUCCCAAGGAUGGGAUGUAUGAGCACCUUAUGGCACAUGCACGCGGUUUAACCACGAGUGGGAGCGACGUGAAGAUCAGGGCAGAGCAUGCAGCCCUCCUGAAGGCUAUGGGUCCCAUCUAG